AGAUUAGGUAGUUGGUGDGAUAANRGCUYACCAAGCCGACGAUCURUAGCUGGUGUGAGAGGRUGAYCAGCCACASUGGAAGUGAGACRGCGGCCCAGACUCCUACGGGAGGCAGCAGUGGGGAAUUUUGGACAAUGGGCGAAASCNUGAUCCAGCAAUGCCGCGUGCAGGAWGAAGGYCUUCGGRUUGUAAACURCUUUUGUACGGAACGAARGGCCCCURGCUAAUACCUGGGBUCACAUGACGGUACCGUAAGAAUAAGCACCGGCUAACUACGUCCCAGCAGCCGCGGUAAUACGUAGGGUCCRAGCGUUAAUCGGAAUUACUGGGCGUAAAGCGUGCGCAGGCGGUUUUGUAAGACAGAGGUGAAAUCCCCGGGCUCAACCUGGGAACUGCCUUUGUGACUGCAAAGCUGGAGUGCGGCAGAGGGGGAUGGAAUUCCGCGUGUAGCRGUGAAAUGCGUAGAUAUGSGGAGGAACACCGAUGGCGAAGGCRAUCCCCCUGGGCCUGCACUACGUUNAGCANGAAG
rnacentral:rRNA from 1 species